AGGCAACGCAAAGUUUUCUUGACUCCCGAGGAUUUCCCCUAAAUGGCAAUGAAAUUGGAUGGGAAACAAACUCGCCACGAUUGGAAGGAAAUUUAGCCGUCAAAGGAUCGAUGAAUCGCCCAGACUAUUUGAGACCCUCUCAACAAAUUCGUAUCUUGACUAAGACAAUUGUCAGAAGCAUUUGUUUGUGGUGGUUAGCUGGCAAGCUGGUUGGCUAAUUGGUCACACAGAACAGGGUAUGGCUGAAUGGGAGCCAAUCUCUUCUAACAACUCACAGUAGUUUUGUUUUUGUUUUGUUAAAUCCUCAACUGUUUCCAUCCUUCAAUAGGCACGCUACAACUGUUGCUUCUUUUUCUCAACUACUAUUCUUACUCCACAACAACUACUACUACUAUUACUCCUACCGUUGUUACUACUACUGCUGCUGCUGCUGCUGCUUACUCGCUCUGCUCGCAAAGCAAGAAGAUAGAAAUCUAUUGAUGCAUCAUGAGUUCAACCCCACGUAUUAAUGUUUUGUAUGUCCACUUAUACGACCGACUAUCAACUACAAACAUGGUAGCCUGAUAACAACCAUGACGAGCAGCAUCCAACCUCGAUGGUAGACAUUUGGCUCUUUUGUAGAGCAGAAGUCGGUCAUCUUGGUGUCCCAACACCCAACCUCACAGCAGCUUGACCAAAUACGUAUUUGUUUGUAUGUCUGAAGAAGAUAAAAAUCCUGUUUUAUGCUGAUGAGAUGCUCUGGUUGCUGGUCGCUGCUUGUGGUUCCUUGUGAGAUGAGUGGUUGCUUCUCUCUCACUUACACACACGAACACGAAACCAUCCACUGGUAAUGUAGAUGGUCCUAAGAAAACACCGUACAUUUUUAAUUAUCUCUGCUAUUCCACAAUUACCAAACUUCGUUGAAAACCAUGCAUCUGUUUUGUGUGUGGUAUUUUUGGUUGAUGUCUUCAACUAUUUCUACUACUACUACUACUACUUCUUCUGCCACAGUUACUACAAGUUCUCACCAGUAUUUAACGACCAAAACCAUGACCCUCCACUGUCCAUCCCGUCUUGGGUCAUUCUCCGGGACUCGGUUGGUUGCACUCAACCCCACCUAAACAAACCCCUAUCCUCCCCAAGUAAUCCGUGGUGCUGCCUGAUUGUGCUUUGAAUCAACUCGUAAAACGGAAUUUCCAGUGCCUCUGAAGCGAGAUCAAGGAGCUCAAACACCUUGGGUAUCGUGAGAAACCUUUUGUGGUAGCCGAUCUCCCGAGAUUUCAAGAAAAUGGGUCGAAAAGUCUCAUUGAGCUCAAUAUGGUCGGAUGAAAUUCUGUACGUAGUGAGACUUUUUUUCUUGUGAUCCGUAGUUUCUGGAAAGUUGCGGUAAGCUCUGAAACCCCUUUCCCUUCACCCAAUCAAGAUAAAAUCGCUGAUAGUGUUGAUUCCUCAACUUGUGAGCACUCCAUUUAGUAUGUAUGGUGCUGCCCACGGCAAAUCACCCGGCCAAUGCGGGAUUGCUUUAGUAUAUCUUCCAGGAAAUUGUGAUCGUGAUAAAGCAGAGAAAUUGUACCGGUGAAAGAGAAAUUCCUUUCCUUUCCUGUGAACGUCGAAUUAGCGAGCUCCACUGGGCCUAAUUCUUUGAUCCUCAGGAGUUGGUCCGUUAUAUAUUCUCCCAAGUGCAAGUUAUGUGCUUGGUGAAAGAGAAAUCAGUGCCCGAUUCCUUGGAAGUCCUCAUCAGGGCUACCCGUUGCUGCAAGGCUUUUACGUUUCCAAUUCGGAUCGAACCACAUCCAACUUGGCGAGCUCCACAAGGGCCCAAGCUUGGUAAGAGUCUUCCAUUUAUGCCUCAAACCUCGCUUGUAAAUUUGUUGCAGUUCCAUCACGCAGUUAAUGUUAUUUACUGGCGUAAGCCAUUGCCUCAACUCAGCCUAGGCUCAAAACUACCUCUCCUCAAGCCCAUUUAAGUCAACCCUGGCGAGCUCCUUUGGGCCCAGGUUGGUAAGCUAUUGAUAGCAUGAUUUUUCGCAAGCUAUGAUUUGCCUGGCGAGCUCCGCAUGGGCCCAGGAAUUAUGUCCUCUAUUGAUAUACUGUGUUCUCUUUUGAUGUCAGGAGUCUUGGUACAAUUUUCUCCUAUUGAAUGAAAUAUCUUGUUUAGAUAUCCCCUGGUGAGCUCCAUAGGGCCCAGGAAUACUUUGUGUCGUAAUGCAAUAGUUUAUUUGCCAAUUGGCAAGGCAAAGUUUUGCCCCAACAAUAUUCUCGGCAAUCUUGCAGACGAGGAUAUCGGGGGAUGCCCCACAGGACUCCAGUUGACUCUUUUCUGAACAUGGCAUUGAUUGCGGUGGAGACUCCUUGUCCUGACAGCAAACAAUGGUAAGCCGCUUGGUUGGCCAAUUCUCCCCAUCUCUUAAAUUCCAGUUGUCUGGCGAGCUCCUUUGGGCCCAGAUCGACCUGAUCCCGCAAUGCCAAGAGUCAUUUGUUUUAAAUCCUACCGACACUCUCAAAGGAACACAGUCAUUAACUACUACCGUAGAUCAAUGAGGACCUCGCCGUUUACUUCUAAGGGCAUAAGGCAUUUCACGGUUGCUUUGACAAGUAAGUGUCAGAUAUUACCCACGAACGAGGAAGAUUUGAGAUUUUGCAGAACGAGGCAUUUAGUUUAUACCAAUUCUGGCGAGCUCCAAACGGGCCCAGAUCCCAAGAGUCCAAUUCUCUGAAUAUCUUGGAACCAACGGCUAUCCCUACUAAUCCUGACGGAGUUCGGUGGGCCGUAGGCAACUUGGCGUGGGCCACAUACCCAUUUCAUAACCAAAGCGUCAAGUAAGUGGUUAUCUCUUCCUUGGGAAGCAACCAUGGUUUUCGGUCUUACAGAAUGCUCGAAAAAGAACGUGUCUGGUGAGCUCCACUUGGGCCCAGACCUUGACAGGCCUCACUUUAAACUUCCCGGAUUAUAAUCGUCCCCAUCUUCCCGUCACCCGUGAGCAGGGUUAAGAUCCAAUCUGCAAUCGAAUUUGAAUCUCUUUUUGGUCAUGAGAUGAGAGGAAUCUUUCAAUCUACUGAGUAAGUGGUUUAUCUCCCAUUCGUGCAAAGAUGGUUUUCAGUUCUUCCAGACAGCAGAGCGCUCUCUCAAGUUGUCAUCUGGAUAGUUCUUCAGUCUGGUGAGCUCCGUCUGGGCCCAGGCACCGGAUCUCUACUCCCAACGAGGGAUAUUUUAGGCGUGUCAAUUCUUGUGGCUGUGAAUACACCGUAGGUGUCUGUUUUGGCGAGCUCCACUUUGGGCCCAAUCAUCUGGAUGGAUCCAGACGAGGUGAACAGGGGCACAUGUGGUGGGGGGAUGACCACACAAUAUUCUUGGGCCGUAUUUCAGUUUUGUCACAAGAUCCUCUUCUAAGCAAGUUAGCGUAUCUACGAGGCGACCACUUACCCCAACAUCUGCGGAACAGUCGACCCAAUCCGCAAAGUAAGCAAAUAGGCCUAGGUCACAACCCACGUAUUGUGAAUCUUUCAGUGACUGUGGGCAGUCUGGCGAGCUCCGCAAGGGCCCAGACCUAGAGGCGUGGCCUAGCAACACAUCUGUAUUCCCCCUCCCUUGAGUACGUCUAUUGCGUCGCCCGUCACGUCCCAAUAAUCAGUCUAUCCAAAUAUCGACAUUAGAGGACAUCGUUAACUAAUUGGUCUUUGGUCAGCUUCGUCAUGGAAAGGAUCACGAAUGCAAGCAGUCCUCGCCAUUCCCUGGAGGCUACACGUAGGCUAAUCUUUAUAUCUUCAUCUUUUCACACUUAUCCAGGACCUGCCUUUGCACGAUUUCAAUCUCAAACUUCCCGUUGGUUUUAUCACCACGGACCUGUUCCACCGACCACCCACUCGAUUUAGUGGAUAAGGCUGUAAAUCUCUCAAGCGACGAGCUUUCCGAGGCACUAAUUGAAUCCAAGCCAGUUCUGUUAACCCUGGAAAGUUGAAGUACCAGAGGCUUGCUUCUAUUGGCCAUGAAGCAAGCAAUGGGCAACGCAAAAAUUUGACUGAGUUUAGUCAAUUGCACACAAAUUGAGAAGCCAUAGAUGCCUGGCGUGGGGAACAAGAUACCUAAACCUAGCAAAAGAAAUCUCUUCUCAGCCUCCCACCACCUUUGCUCUGCGUGGAACCAAUCAUUUCGAGGUCGAUUAGGAGUUUGGGUACAACAUUAAUGCAAGUAGUGGUCGGUACUUGGUGAUGCUUAAAUCGGUUUGAUGUAACGACCCUUCUAUGCGCAAGAGCCUCUCAUCACCCCCUAUAUCCUCAUUACGGAAUGAGGAAUCCUUGAGUCCCUUUACUGCAGUAUCAAUCGUGCCAAAUGCCAUGUAGAACCUUGCCCAUUUACCACGUCAGAUCACCAUUCUGACCGCUUGGUUAUGACGAUAGGCACUCAUUUUUAACCGAGCUUGCAAAUACCAGUUGCCCAAUGCCUUGACAAGAGGUGAAACCAACGCCGCUGUGGCUUCAACCUCCAAGUUGCAAUGGUCCCGCCCAUCGCGAUUCGUACGCAUCUUUGCCCCAUCAUCUCUGGCGUUGUUGCAAUUUCAAUCUAACAAUAGUCACCAAGAAUGAAUGACGUAAAGGAUGUGAGGGGGUUCCAAUCCAAAAAUGAUAUCAAAAUCCUAGGCCAAAAUGGGUUUUCAUCUUCGUUUGUAAGGCCGAUUCAGUCGAUCUGGCGAGCUCUUCGAAUGGGCCCAGAUGGAAGAGUCCUGAUUGAAAAGCAUAUUCCUCGUAACCAGAAUCCUCCUCAAGGGGUCUUUCCCGUAAGGCGGAAAUGACUCGAAUUUCCAUUCUAGCCUUUAUAGGCUUUCAGUAGGCUGGUGCCGGAAGAGUGAAGACUGGUUGCCGAAGAAGGAUCGUGAUCCAAGUCAAGAACAUUUUUUUCAACAGCGAAAAAUCACUUUUGUUGGUGAGCUCCAUAUGGGCCCAUCAAGAGUGACAUGGACAGAAGAGACCGUGAAAACGGUUCCAAUGGAAAAUGAUGAUCAUCGAUGUUAUCCCCACAGCUCCUCUUCUCCACUCUUGUUCUUCUCCUUGGUCGUCUUUCGUGUUUCAUCGUUUUGGUAGUGUUAACCUUUCCAAGUCUCAUCUUCAGAAAGUUGUCUCCUUUAAUUUGAGGGCUUUGAUCAUCCUAGUCAAUUAAAAGUAUCGUCAAGGAGCUGUGGAGCGGUAAAAUCAAGCAAUGGACUGGGUUUGGAAGAAAUGAAGACUGGUCGCCGAAGAAGGAUUUGCCUCCAAUAUUCAUGUAUGGUCUUGCAAGGAUGGGUUCGUCUCCUUGGUCCCUAUUUUUGAACAAAAUCCGGCGAGCUCGUGCAAAGGGCCCGGAUUUCCUUGGAGCUCGUCACGACUUUACUCUGGUCAUGGGGAUGAGAGCUCCUUUAAUCCAAAUCUUGGUGAUGUAAGAUUCGGUCCUCUUUAAAUCACCAGGCAUUUGGAUGGGUGGUUUUACUCCGGGUACUCCGGUUUCCACCCCAUGAUUGAGUAAAAUAUAAACGUGGAAAAUGCAAAAAGCAAGAAAGCUAGUUUUAUUGCAAAGAGAAAUAAAUUUAUUAAUUCCA